rnacentral:lncRNA from 13 species
AUGGGCCCAGCGCUUCACCAGGUGCCAGAGCGCAAGGGGAGACUCAUGCGGUCACGGCAGUGCCCUGACGUCACAUGCAGCCCGGCUGCCUACCUCCCGUGUGGCCUAGGCCCACGACCACCCCUUGUGGGCCUCCAUGCCCUGCUCGUAAGCUCAGUCGACUGUGUCACCACCUGUGACGCACAGAGCAGAGUCAGGGACCCAGUAAGUGCUGAUGUGGGGACCACUGUGGCCACCAGCCCAUCUGGGCACCGUCUGCGGCAGAUCCAGGGAUGGCCUCAGGCCUUCUGCCCGGCCUCUGAGGGCUGGGGACCAGUGGUGGGCCCGAGGGAAUGGUGUCCUGCUACCCCGUCCUCCCUCCUCUCCCAUGCCCGUCCUCACCAGUACCCAACGAAGGCUGGCACCGAGGGUCCCACAGUGGUCCAGCCACGGCCUCUGCUCCCUCUGAGCCGGUGGCUCCCUGGGGACAGUCUUGUCUGUUGCCACACUCCACUGUCUGGAACAAGCAGGCCUGGGUGGACGCUGCAUGGCCUCGUCUGGGUGAGAGCAGGAGGGCAGGUGCGGCGUGCGGGGGACUGCCGGGCCUGUGGGGCUGGCGCAGUUGCGGGGAGGAUUAGGUCUGGGCCUUGGCUGCGGGCGAGGGGACUACUGGGACAGUGUGGUGGCCUAGGAGGCCCGGCUGGUCAGGGCACAGGCAGCUUCUGUGAUUGGGCCACGUGCUGCCCACUGUACACUCAGGGCCUCCUGUGCAGUCACCGGCUUGGUGGCGGGCGGGGCCUCAGCCAGGACAGGAACUUGGAGCUGCGGGGUUUUGUCAACCCUUUGGGUCUCUCAGCAGCAGCCCGGCUGGGGCACAGUGCUGGGUAUCAGCCCUGUGUGCUGCAGGCAGGGUGCAGGGUGGACCCAGGGCAGCGGGGGGAGGCUGGGGGUGCCCUGGGUUUGCUUCCGCCCGGAUGGAGGUUCUGGACACCCAUGCAAGCCCAGCUGGGGCCGCCAAACCACCCUGCACGGAUUCCUGGGUACGUGCUGCCCUCUAGUGCUCACAGCGGGGAGCGCCUCUGGAAGCGGGUGGCUGUGCCUUAG